rnacentral:rRNA from 1 species
GGCGACCGGCGCACGGGUGAGUAACGCGUAUGCAACUUGCCUAUCAGAGGGGAAUAGCCCGGCGAAAGUCGGAUUAAUGCUCCAUAAAACAGGGGUCCCGCAUGGGAAUAUUUGUUAAAGAUUCAUCGCUGAUAGAUAGGCAUGCGUUCCAUUAGGCAGUUGGCGGGGUAACGGCCCACCAAACCGACGAUGGAUAGGGGUUCUGAGAGGAAGGUCCCCCACAUUGGAACUGAGACACGGUCCAAACUCCUACGGGAGGCAGCAGUGAGGAAUAUUGGUCAAUGGCCGGGAGGCUGAACCAGCCAAGUCGCGUGAAGGAUGAAGGAUCUAUGGUUUGUAAACUUCUUUUAUACGGGAAUAAAGUGUGGGACGUGUCCCAUUUUGUAUGUACCGUAUGAAUAAGCAUCGGCUAACUCCGUGCCAGCAGCCGCGGUAAUACGGAGGAUGCGAGCGUUACCCGGAUUUAUUGGGUUUAAAGGGUGCGUAGGUGGUUGUUUAAGUCAGCGGUGAAAGUUUGUGGCUCAACCAUAAAAUUGCCGUUGAAACUGGAUGACUUGAGUAUAUUUGAGGUAGGCGGAAUGCGUGGUGUAGCGGUGAAAUGCAUAGAUAUCACGCAGAACUCCGAUUGCGAAGGCAGCUUACUAAACUAUAACUGACACUGAAGCACGAAAGCGUGGGGAUCAAACAGGAUUAGAUACCCUGGUAGUCCACGCAGUAAACGAUGAUUACUAGGAGUUUGCGAUAGACAGUAAGCUCUACAGCGAAAGCGUUAAGUAAUCCACCUGGGGAGUACGCCGGCAACGGUGAAACUCAAAGGAAUUGACGGGGGCCCGCACAAGCGGAGGAACAUGUGGUUUAAUUCGAUGAUACGCGAGGAACCUUACCCGGGUUUGAACGCAUUCGGACCGGAGUGGAAACGCUCCUUUCAGCAAUGACCGUUUGCGAGGUGCUGCAUGGUUGUCGUCAGCUCGUGCCGUGAGGUGUCGGCUUAAGUGCCAUAACGAGCGCAACCCUUAUCACUAGUUACUAACAGGUCAAGCUGAGGACUCU